GACGGGGGGAGCAAGCGUUGUUCGGAUUUACUGGGCGUAAAGGGCGCGUAGGCGGCGCAACAAGUCACUUGUGAAAUCUCCGGGCUUAACCCGGAGCGGCCAAGUGAUACUGUCGUGCUAGAGUGCGGAAGGGGCUACUGGAAUUCUCGGUGUAGCGGUGAAAUGCGUAGAUAUCGAGAGGAACACCUGCGGCGAAGGCGGGUAGCUGGGCCGACACUGACGCUGAGGCGCGAAAGCCAGGGGAGCGAACGGG
rnacentral:rRNA from 1 species